rnacentral:rRNA from 1 species
UACGAAGGGGGCUAGCGUUGCUCGGAAUCACUGGGCGUAAAGCGCACGUGGGCGGAUUUUUAAGUCAGGGGUGAAAUCCUGGAGCUCAACUCCAGAACUGCCUUUGAUACUGGGAAUCUCGAGUCCGGGAGAGGUGAGUGGAACUCCGAGUGUAGAGGUGAAAUUCGUAGAUAUUCGGAAGAACACCAGUGGCGAAGGCGGCUCACUGGCCCGGUACUGACGCUGAGGCACGAAAGCGUGGGGAGCAAACAGG